GACGAACGCUGGCGGCGUGCCUAAUACAUGCAAGUCGAGCGCUGAAGGUUGGUACUUGUACCAACUGGAUGAGCAGCGAACGGGUGAGUAACGCGUGGGGAAUCUGCCUUUGAGCGGGGGACAACAUUGGGAAACGAAUGCUAAUACCGCAUAAAAACUUUAAACACAAGGUUUAAGAGUGAAAGAUGCAAUUGCAUCACCCAAAGAUGAUCCCGCGUUGUAUUAGCUAGUUGGUGAGGUAAAGGCCCACCAAGGCGAAGAUACAUAGCCGACCUGAGAGGGUUGUCGGCCCCCUUGGGACUGGGGCCCCGCCCCAACUCCUUCGGGGGGCAGCCGUAGGGAAUCUUCGGGCAUGGACGGAAGUCUUACCGGGCAACGCCGCGUGGGUGGAGAAGGUUUUCGGAUCGUAAAACUCUUUUGGUAGGGAAGAACGUUGGUGGGAGUGGACAGCGCAUCAAGUGACGGUAACUACCCAGAAAGGCACGGCUAACUACGUG
rnacentral:rRNA from 1 species